rnacentral:rRNA from 1 species
UGUAUAAUGGGUCAGCGACUUAUAUUCUGUAGCAAGGUUAACCGAAUAGGGGAGCCGAAGGGAAACCGAGUCUUAACUGGGCGUUAAGUUGCAGGGUAUAGACCCGAAACCCGGUGAUCUAGCCAUGGGCAGGUUGAAGGUUGGGUAACACUAACUGGAGGACCGAACCGACUAAUGUUGAAAAAUUAGCGGAUGACUUGUGGCUGGGGGUGAAAGGCCAAUCAAACCGGGAGAUAGCUGGUUCUCCCCGAAAGCUAUUUAGGUAGCGCCUCGUGAACUCAUCUCCGGGGGUAGAGCACUGUUUCGGCAAGGGGGUCAUCCCGACUUACCAACCCGAUGCAAACUGCGAAUACCGGAGAAUGUUAUCACGGGAGACACACGGCGGGUGCUAACGUCCGUCGUGAAGAGGGAAACAACCCAGACCGCCAGCUAAGGUCCCAAAGUCAUGGUUAAGUGGGAAACGAUGUGGGAAGGCCCAGACAGCCAGGAUGUUGGCUUAGAAGCAGCCAUCAUUUAAAGAAAGCGUAAUAGCUCACUGGUCGAGUCGGCCUGCGCGGAAGAUGUAACGGGGCUAAACCAUGCACCGAAGCUGCGGCAGCGACGCUUAUGCGUUGUUGGGUAGGGGAGCGUUCUGUAAGCCUGUGAAGGUGUACUGUGAGGUAUGCUGGAGGUAUCAGAAGUGCGAAUGCUGACAUAAGUAACGAUAAAGCGGGUGAAAAGCCCGCUCGCCGGAAGACCAAGGGUUCCUGUCCAACGUUAAUCGGGGCAGGGUGAGUCGACCCCUAAGGCGAGGCCGAAAGGCGUAGUCGAUGGGAAACAGGUUAAUAUUCCUGUACUUGGUGUUACUGCGAAGGGGGGACGGAGAAGGCUAUGUUGGCCGGGCGACGGUUGUCCCGGUUUAAGCGUGUAGGCUGGUUUUCCAGGCAAAUCCGGAAAAUCAAGGCUGAGGCGUGAUGACGAGGCACUACGGUGCUGAAGCAACAAAUGCCCUGCUUCCAGGAAAAGCCUCUAAGCAUCAGGUAACAUCAAAUCGUACCCCAAACCGACACAGGUGGUCAGGUAGAG